rnacentral:rRNA from 1 species
GAGUUUGAUCGUGGCUCAGGAUGAACGCUGGCGGCGUGCCUAAUACAUGCAAGUCGUACGAACAGCGGAAAGUGCUUGCACUUUCCAAGUAAGUGGCGAACGGGUGAGUAACACGUGAAUAACCUACCUCAAAGUCUGGGGAUAACCAUUGGAAACAGUGACUAAUACCGGAUAAAACCUAGUAGCACAUGCUACAAGGUUAAAAGCUGCGUUUGCAGCGCUUUAAGAUGGAUUCG